rnacentral:lncRNA from 1 species
UAAGCAUAGCAAGUGGCUGACCAAUACCUCCUGCAGCACCCAAGAUUGCGACUUUGAAUCCCGGAGAACCCCCUUUCGCCCUGCAAUUAGCUCGGCUCAAACCCACACCUCCCUCCAUCUUGAGCCCCAAAUGCACGUAUGUUUUUUAAACACACAACAAAAUCAGUAUGUAUGAAUGAUUGAAAACUCCGAGUGCAAAAACAUACAUAGAAUUAGUAGCAAAUAAAUCAAGAAAGCAUCAUAGAGAUCACCUAAGUAGAAGAUGUGUUAAAAAAUAUAUAAAAUUACAUUCCCGCUAUUCCAUUAUAUACCGCAUUCUUUCCUUUUAAUUGUUUAUAAAAAUGACACUUCUAAAAAAAACUGAAAACUAUGAACUUUAAUCUUUUUUCAUGACAUGUUUACCACCACAAGUUGUAAGGAUACAUUUUACACGAGUCAAAAUCCUUUUUUUCUUAAAAUAAAAAAAAAGUAGAGAACAGUAUAAAGUAAGAACGAAUUCAAUGGUAUUUUGCACUACUACUAAUUGAUUAAUUCUAAAGGAAUGGGAAAGGGAAGAGAAUUAAGAGAAAUAGAAACCUGAUGAGAAGAAGGAGAGGGGUUAAGGUGAGCUGAGAUGGUGGCGAUUCGUCGAUAGGUCUCUGCACUGUUCUGCAUAUUGGGCUUGAGAAUUUGUGUGUUUGAACUAUGAUGAGAAAGAGAGGUAGUAGAAAUCAAG